rnacentral:rRNA from 1 species
CACGAAGUUAGCCGGGGCUUAUUCUGCGGGUACCGUCAUCAUCGUCCCCGCCAAAAGAGCUUUACAACCCGAAGGCCUUCAUCACUCACGCGGCAUGGCUGGAUCAGGGUUGCCCCCAUUGUCCAAUAUUCCCCACUGCUGCCUCCCGUAGGAGUCUGGGCCGUGUCUCAGUCCCAGUGUGGCUGAUCGUCCUCUCAGACCAGCUAACGAUCGUCGCCUUGGUGAGCCAUUACCUCACCAACUAGCUAAUCGUACGCGGACUCAUCUUUUGGCGAUAAAUCUUUAUCCCGAAGGAACCAUCCGGUAUUAGCCCCAGUUUCCCGGGGUUAUUCCGAACCAAAGGCAGAUAUCCACGCGUUACUCACCCGUGCGCCACUCGUGUAUUGCUACACGCGUUCGACUUGCAUGUGUUAAGCCUGCCGCCAGCGUUCGUUCUGAGCCAGGAUCAAACUCU